GGCUGGUCCGAUUGCAGUGGUAACUCUAAUUAAUUGAUUACAGUCAGUUACAGAUUUCUUUGUUCUUUCUCCGCUCCCACUGCUUCACUUGACUAGUCUUUU
rnacentral:Y_RNA from 15 species